rnacentral:rRNA from 1 species
CCUACGGGUGGCUGCAGUGGGGGAUAUUGCUCAAUGGGGGGAACCCUGAUGCAGCGACGCCGCGUGUGGGAAGACGGUCCUCUGGAUUGUAAACUACUGUCCUCAGGGACGAAAAUGACGGUACCUGGGGAGGAAGCUACGGCUAACUACGUGCCAGCAGCCGCGGUAAUACGUAGGGAGCGAGCGUUGUCCGGAAUUACUGGGGGUAAAGGGAGCGUAGGCGGGGAUGCAAGUUGGGUGUCAAAACUACGGGCUCAACUGGUAGUCGCACUCGAAACUGCAGCUCUUGAGUGAAGUAGAGGCAGGCGGAAUGCGGAGUGUAGCGGUGAAAUGCGUAGAUAUUAGGAGGAACACCGGUGGCGAAGGCGGCCUACUGGGCUUUUACUGACGCUGAGGCACGAAAGUGUGGGGAGCAAACAGGAUUAGAUACCCGGGUAGUC